GCGGGUGUGGCGGAAUGGUAGACGCACCGGACUUAAAAUCCGUUGGGACAUAGUCCUGUGGGGGUUCGAGUCCCCCCACCCGCACCA
rnacentral:tRNA from 1 species